GAACCUUACCUGGGUUUGACAUGCACGUGGUACGGAGAUGAAAGUUGAAGGACCCUGUAGAGAUACAGGGAGCGUGCACAGGUGCUGCAUGGCUGUCGUCAGCUCGUGUCGUGAGAUGUUGGGUUAAGUCCCGCAACGAGCGCAACCCUUGNUCAUUAGUUGCUAACAUUAAGUUGAGGACUCUAAUGAGACUGCCGGGGACAACUCGGAGGAAGGUGGGGAUGACGUCAAAUCAUCAUGCCCCUUAUGUUCUGGGCUACACACGUGCUACAAUGGCCGGUACAACGAGAAGCGAAGUCGCAAGGCGGAGCAAACCUCAAAAACCGGUCCCAGUUCGGAUUGCAGGCUGAAACCCGCCUGCAUGAAGCCGGAGUUGCUAGUAAUCGCGAAUCAGAAUGUCGCGGUGAAUGCGUUCCCGGGUCUUGUACACACCG
rnacentral:rRNA from 1 species